rnacentral:tRNA from 1 species
AGUCCGGAGGUGUCAACAUAUUGAAUUGCAAAUUCAGAGUGGCAGGUUAGGAGCCUGCUCGGACUU